GAUGAACGUUGGCGGCGUGCCUAAUACAUGCAAGUCGAGCGAACGGACGAGAAGCUUGCUUCUCUGAUGUUAGCGGCGGACGGGUGAGUAACACGUGGAUAACCUACCUAUAAGACUGGGAUAACUUCGGGAAACCGGAGCUAAUACCGGAUAAUAUUUUGAACCGCAUGGUUCAAAAGUGAAAGACGGUCUUGCUGUCACUUAUAGAUGGAUCCGCGCUGCAUUAGCUAGUUGGUAAGGUAACGGCUUACCAAGGCAACGAUGCAUAGACGACCUGAGAGGGUGAUCGGCCACACUGGAACUGAGACACGGUCCAGACUCCUACGGGAGGCAGCAGUAGGGAAUCUUCCGCAAUGGGCGAAAGCCUGACGGAGCAACGCCGCGUGAGUGAUGAAGGUCUUCGGAUCGUAAAACUCUGUUAUUAGGGAAGAACAUAUGUGUAAGUAACUGUGCACAUCUUGACGGUACCUAAUCAGAAAGCCACGGCUAACUACGUGCCAGCAGCCGCGGUAAUACGUAGGUGGCAAGCGUUAUCCGGAAUUAUUGGGCGUAAAGCGCGCGUAGGCGGUUUUUUAAGUCUGAUGUGAAAGCCCACGGCUCAACCGUGGAGGGUCAUUGGAAACUGGAAAACUUGAGUGCAGAAGAGGAAAGUGGAAUUCCAUGUGUAGCGGUGAAAUGCGCAGAGAUAUGGAGGAACACCAGUGGCGAAGGCGACUUUCUGGUCUGUAACUGACGCUGAUGUGCGAAAGCGUGGGGAUCAAACAGGAUUAGAUACCCUGGUAGUCCACGCCGUAAACGAUGAGUGCUAAGUGUUAGGGGGUUUCCGCCCCUUAGUGCUGCAGCUAACGCAUUAAGCACUCCGCCUGGGGAGUACGACCGCAAGGUUGAAACUUAAAGGAAUUGACGGGGACCCGCACAAGCGGUGGAGCAUGUGGUUUAAUUCGAAGCAACGCGAAGAACCUUACCAAAUCUUGACAUCCUUUGACAACUCUAGAGAUAGAGCCUUCCCCUUCGGGGGACAAAGUGACAGGUGGUGCAUGGUUGUCGUCAGCUCGUGUCGUGAGAUGUUGGGUUAAGUCCCGCAACGAGCGCAACCCUUAAGCUUAGUUGCCAUCAUUAAGUUGGGCACUCUAAGUUGACUGCCGGUGACAAACCGGAGGAAGGUGGGGAUGACGUCAAAUCAUCAUGCCCCUUAUGAUUUGGGCUACACACGUGCUACAAUGGACAAUACAAAGGGCAGCGAAACCGCGAGGUCAAGCAAAUCCCAUAAAGUUGUUCUCAGUUCGGAUUGUAGUCUGCAACUCGACUACAUGAAGCUGGAAUCGCUAGUAAUCGUAGAUCAGCAUGCUACGGUGAAUACGUUCCCGGGUCU
rnacentral:rRNA from 1 species